rnacentral:tRNA from 1 species
GCCGAGGUGGCGGAAUAGGCAGACGCGCUACCUUGAGGGGGUAGUGCCCGAAAGGGCGUGGGGGUUCAAAUCCCUUCCUCGGCA